GGGGCGUUGGUGUAGUGGUUAACAUAGCGGUCUUCGGAACCGUUGUCAGGGGUUCGAUCCCCUUACGCCCUG
rnacentral:tRNA from 1 species